rnacentral:rRNA from 1 species
GCUUCCGUCCUUUUCACUUCAAACACACCAGUUCUCGUCCGAUUACGGAAAUUAAGUAACGUCGAGUCUAUUUCGUACCUGCUUGAGAAACCUAGGUGUUGUAAGCA